rnacentral:tRNA from 1 species
GCGAGAUUAGUUUAGUGGCAGAACGGUUGCUUCCCAAGCAACAAGCACGAGUUCGAUUCUCGUAUCUCGCA